UUCCGGUUGAUCCUGCCGGACCUGACUGCUAUCGGAUUGAUACUAAGCCAUGCGAGUCUUUGUAGUAAUACAAGGCAGACGGCUCAGUAACACGUAGUCAACCUACCCUAUGGACGAGGAUAAUCUCGGGAAACUGAGGAUAAUACUCGAUAGAUCAUAAUGCCUGGAAUGGUUUAUGGUUAAAAUGAUUCGUCGCCAUAGGAUGGGACUGCGGCCUAUCAGCUUGUUGGUGAGGUAAUGGCCCACCAAGGCGAUUACAGGUACGGGCUCUGAGAGGAGAAGCCCGGAGAUGGGUACUGAGACAAGGACCCAGGCCCUAUGGGGCGCAGCAGGCGAGAAAACUUUGCAAUGUGCGAAAGCACGACAAGGUUAAUCCGAGUGAUUUCUGCUAAAGAAAUCUUUUACCAGUCAUAAAACCACUGGUGAAUAAGGGGUGGGCAAGUUCUGGUGUCAGCCGCCGCGGUAAAACCAGCACCUCAAGUGGUCAGGAUGAUUAUUGGGCCUAAAGCAUCCGUAGCCGGCUCUGUAAGUUUUCGGUUAAAUCCAUGUGCUCAACGCAUGGGCUGCCGAAAAUACUGCAUAGCUAGGGAGUGGGAGAGGUAGACGGUACUCGGUAGGAAGGGGUAAAAUCCUUUGAUCUAUCGAUGACCACCUGUGGCGAAGGCGGUCUACCAGAACACGUUCGACGGUGAGGGAUGAAAGCUGGGGGAGCAAACCGGAUUAGAUACCCGGGUAGUCCCAGCUGUAAACGAUGCAGACUCGAUGAUGCAUUGGCAUAUAGCCAGUGCAGUGUCGCAGGGAAGCCGUUAAGUCUGCCGCCUGGGAAGUACGUACGCAAGUAUGAAACUUAAAGGAAUUGGCGGGGGAGCACCACAAGGGGUGAAGCCUGCGGUUCAAUUGGAUUCAACGCCGGG
rnacentral:rRNA from 1 species